rnacentral:rRNA from 1 species
GUGCAGCAGUCGCGAAUUUUUCUCAAUGGGCGAAAGCCUGAAGGAGCGACGCCGCGUGGGGGAUGAAUGGCUUCGGCCCGUAAACCCUGUCAUUUGUGAACAAAUUGCUUCACUCAACACGUGAAGCAUUGAUAGUAACGGAAGAGGAAGGGACGGCUAACUCUGUGCCAGCAGCCGCGGUAAUACAGAGGUCCCAAGCGUUGUUCGGAUUCACUGGGCGUAAAGGGUGCGUAGGCGGUCGGGUAAGUCUGACGUGAAAUCUCCGGGCCUAACCCGGAAACUGCGUCGGAUACUAUCCGGCUAGAGGAUUGGAAGGGAGACUGGAAUACUUGGUGUAGCAGUGAAAUGCGUAGAUAUCAAGUGGAACACCAGUGGCGAAGGCGAGUCUCUGGACAAUUCCUGACGCUGAGGCACGAAAGCCAGGGGAGCAAACGGGAUUAGAUACCCCCGUAGU